UACGUAGGGUGCAAGCGUUAAUCGGAAUUACUGGGCGUAAAGCGUGCGCAGGCGGUUUUGUAAGUCUGACGUGAAAUCCCCGGGCUCAACCUGGGAAUUGCGUUGGAGACUGCAAGGCUGGAGUCUGGCAGAGGGGGGUAGAAUUCCACGUGUAGCAGUGAAAUGCGUAGAGAUGUGGAGGAACAACGAUGGCGAAGGCAGCCCCCUGGGUCAAGACUGACGCUCAUGCACGAAAGCGUGGGGAGCAAACAGG
rnacentral:rRNA from 1 species